rnacentral:misc_RNA from 1 species
AACGCACAUUGCGCCUUUCGGUAUUCCGGGAGGCACGCCUGUUCGAGCGCCAUUACAAACUCCAAGCAUGGCUUGAUGUUGGUCGACGUGUUACCGGAAGGGACAGGCGACUGGAAAGGGUUGGCGCCGCCGGCGGACCACGAGCGUAGCAAUUUUGACGCGAGUCGAAAACCGCAUCGGAUGGAUCUGACGGACGGCAGCCGGAGUAUGACGAUGGCAUGCGUGUGGGGGAUAUGUGUACUUUUUUCGUUUGUUUGACAAGAGUAUAUGUAGAAGCAUACGCGUGGCAGAUGUCUAUUAGCAAGUUUGGCCUCGGAUCAGGCGGGGAUACCCGCUGAACUUAA